rfam:Spirochaetes bacterium GWC2_52_13 gwc2_scaffold_309, whole genome shotgun sequence.
GGUGCCGUACCCAAGUGGUAAGGGACAGGUCUGCAAAACCUCCAUGCACCGGUUCGAAUCCGGUCGGCACCU